AGGUCUUUGGAGUUGGGCACAUGUGAGUUCAGGUCUCGUUUGCACCUUUUACUAGUUGCAUUUCCUGGGGGCACAUUUCUACUUUAUGUGAGCUUCUGUUUCCACAACCGUGCAAUUGGACUCUUGUGAUUUCUCCUUCAUGGAGCUGUCAUGAAGAUGAAUGGGGAGAUGUAUGGAAGGCCAAGCUCCCACCAGGGGUAGGCAGGCAAAAAGGAGGAGCAGAGGAUUCUAUGGUUUGUCAGCAAUUACCAGGUUCUCUGGGACAGUGUAGACAGGGCACGGAAAUGGGAUUGCAUUUUACUGUUUGGCUUUGAGUUUAGACUUUUGGUCCAGGCUAUGGACAUGGAUGUGCAAAUAUUAUGUUUGAGUCCCUGCUUUGGCUUCUUUUGGGUAUAUAUCCAGAAGUAGAAUUUGAAUCAAACAGUAAUUCUAUUUUUAUUUUUAUUUUUUUAUUAUACUUUAAGUUCUAGGGCACUGUUUGCUUUUCUGUCCUUGUGAUAGUUUGCUGGGAAUGAUGGUUUCCAGUUAUAUACCCAGUAAUGGGAUCGCUGGGUCAAAUGGUAUUUCUAGUUCUAGAUCCUUGAAGAAUCACCGCACUGUCUUCCACAAUUGUUGAACUAAUUUACACCCCCACCAACAAUGUAAAAGCGUUCCUAUUUCUCCACAUCCUCUCCAGCAUCUGUUGUUUCCUGACCUUUUCAUGAUCACCAUUCUAACUGGUGUGAGAUAGUAUCUCAUUGUGGUUUUGAUUUGCAAUUCUCUGAUGACCAGUGUUGAUGAGCAUUUUUCCAUGUGUCUGUUGGAUGCAUAAAUGUCUUCUUUUGAGAAGUGUCUGCUCAUAUCCUUUGCCCACUUUUUGAUGGGGUUGUUCGGUUUUUUGCUUGUAAAUUUGUUUAAGUUCUUGGCAGAUUCUGGACUUUAGCCCUUUGUCAGAUGGGUAGAUUGCAAAAAUUUUCUCCCAUUCUGUAGGUUGCCUGUUCACUCUGAUGAUAGUUUCUUUUGCUGUGCAGAAGCUCUUUAGUUUAAUUAGAUCCCAUUUGUCUAUUUUGGCUUUUGUUGCCAUUGCUUUUGGUGUUUUAGUCAUGAAGUCUUUUCCCAUGCCUAAGUCCUGAAUGGUAUUGCCUAGGUUUUCUUCUAGGGCUUUUAUGGUUUUAAGUCUAAUAUUUAAGUCUUUAAUCCAUCUUGAGUUAAUUUUUGUAUAAGGUAUAAGGAAGGGAUCCAGUUUCAGCUUUCUAUAUAUGGCUAGCCAGUUUUCCCAGCACCAUUUAUUAAA
rnacentral:lncRNA from 1 species